UUUUUUUAGUUUUCGUUUCUUCUUUCUCUUAUUAGAUUUAAGCACAACAAGAACAUAAACAACUAUGAUGCAGGCUAUCUCCCCUCCAUCUCCCCUCAAGUUAUUAGUCCCAACUCGGCCUCGACUCGCUCCAGUCACCCCCAAUAAACUCAUUCUUCAUUGCAUCUAUCGAUCGGAUUCUGUCCAAUUGCCUAAUGGAGUUGGCUCCAGUCGAGCUGAUUGGCAAAGCUCUUGCGCCAUAUUAGCGAGCAAAGUCGUUUCCCAAGAGCAACCUACUGAUAAAUCUAGUGAAGAUUCACGUGGUGCUGAUCAUGUUGCUGCUGUGAACGGGCACAAGGCCUCUAUUGAUCUUGGUUUAGUCCCUCUUAACAAAGGUUCUAGUGAUGGCCACUCCAAUAACAAAAAGCCAACGAAGUCGUUAAGUAUCACCGACCUCUCACCGGCUCCUAUGCACGGCUCUCAGCUCCGUGUUGCUUAUCAAGGGGUUCCCG
rnacentral:misc_RNA from 1 species